AUGAGUAAAGCUCAUGUUCUCCUUCACUAGCCCCUCAUCAAGCGCAUUUGAUUACAAUAAGGCUUGGAGAUAGAGAACUUUUCACAGGAUUACCGCCAGUUAUUCCAACACACGCACACGCACACAUGAACACACUCAGACUCAUUCAUUGUUGGAUGCUGCACUGUCUGUGUGAAACCUGAGCCGGGUGAAGCUAUAAUGGGCAGUAUGUUGAUGAUGUGAAGACUGGUUGAGCCGGAGAGGGAGUUUCCAAUGUAUUCUCUGAUCCACAUUUGAAUCUGUUAGGCAGUCUUUUUCGCUUUGAUCUUGGAGAAGCUAAAAGAGGGAAUGUAAAGUGACAGACAAAAUAGAACAUCAACACCUCCAAAUAAAUGUUUAUGGGAAACAUCAGUGCAGAUGGUAACCAGGCCUGGCCCAGCAGCAGUCUUCAAGAUGUAGACUUGGUCUCACAUGGGUGGCAACCCACCAACUGUUAAAACUUACUGGAAUGACUGUAAGGAUUUCCUUCUCUACCUCUUUGCAGCUUAAUAACUGCACUAGUCUCAAUGACCAUCCUCCUGGCAAGGAUCGCUGGAUAUUUCUGAAGAGCAAGAGAUAAUUACAGUCAGUCCUGCUUUGGAGUAUGUGAGCAUCUGAGAGGCGUACGGAUUCCACAUCACACCAGACUGCAUUUUGUUUUACAAGAGCAUUCUGUAUUUUACGUGGCAUCUUCAUAGUUCACACUUCCUUCCCCACACAUUAAAAGCAAAACAUUUAAUUUAGAGAUCUGAAAAAUGACAAAUGGUGGACUUCUCAUAAAACAUGUUUCAAAAGCACUUCAUAAAAUACACAUGGUUACACAAGACUACAGAAAUUUCUUAAAAUUACUUACCAUGUCUUCUUUUCAAUUUGGGUACAAAUAAAUGAAUAAAGGGUUUAAUAAUAAUACAAUAUACCUGCCCACAUGGCUGUAAUUUAAACCGCAUACUACACAGGACCAUGGA